rnacentral:rRNA from 1 species
CCAAUAGCGUAUAUUAAAGUUGUUGCAGUUAAAAAGCUCGUAGUUGAAUUUCGGGAUUUGUCAGUUGGUCGGGCCUCACGGUCCGCACUGGCUCGAUAGAUUCCUACCUUCUGAGUAACCAGCAUGCUAUUAAUUUAGUGCGUUGGGGAAGCAGAUCUAUUACCUUGAAAAAAUUAGAGUGCUUAAAGCAGGCUAGUGCUUGAAUAGAUUAGCAUGGAAUAAUAAAAUAGGACGGCUUGGUUCUAUUUUGUUGGUUUCUAGGAUCACCGUAAUGAUUAAUAGGGAUAGUUGGGGGCAUUAGUAUUCAAUUGUCAGAGGUGAAAUUCUUGGAUUUAUUGAAGACUAACUUCUGCGAAAGCAUUUGCCAAGGAUGUUUUCAUUAAUCAAGAACGAAAGUUAGGGGAUCGAAGACGAUCAGAUACCGUCGUAGUCUUAACCAUAAACUAUGCCGACUAGGAAUCGGACGAUGUUAAUUUUAUAAUGACUCGUUCGGCACCUUACG